AGUGAACGCUGGCGGUAGGCCUAACACAUGCAAGUCGAACGGCAGCACAGUAAGAGCUUGCUCUUACGGGUGGCGAGUGGCGGACGGGUGAGGAAUACAUCGGAAUCUACUUUUUCGUGGGGGAUAACGUAGGGAAACUUACGCUAAUACCGCAUACGACCUACGGGCGAAAGCAGGGGAUCUUCGGACCUUGCGCGAUUGAAUGAGCCGAUGUCGGAUUAGCUAGUUGGCGGGGUAAAGGCCCACCAAGGCGACGAUCCGUAGCUGGUCUGAGAGGAUGAUCAGCCACACUGGAACUGAGACACGGUCCAGGCUCCUACGGGAGGCAGCAGUGGGGAAUAUUGGACAAUGGGCGCAAGCCUGAUCCAGCCAUACCGCGUGGGUGAAGAAGGCCUUCGGGUUGUAAAGCCCUUUUGUUGGGAAAGAAAAGCAGCAGGUUAAUACCCCGCUGUUCUGACGGUACCCAAAGAAUAAGCACCGGCUAACUUCGUG
rnacentral:rRNA from 1 species